AACCUCUCCUUACCCCUCAGAUCUGAAUAUUGGUCUGAGUGGCUUAAAAAAAAGGAGGAAACGUAAAACAAGUUAACUGCAGUAUUUAGUGACAUACACAUUCAUUUCAAACAUAC
rnacentral:snoRNA from 1 species